AGGUUUAUUGAGUUUUUGGAUCAGAACCACACGCUUGUCAAAAUUUAAUUUUGAUAAUGCAGAAUUAACUGAUUUUUAAUCCUUAACAGUGAGCGACCCAUGAUCAAGAGCCUGACAGAAAAAGCCUGGAAGAAUUGUGCUUACAGAGAGGGUUGUAUUUUAAGCAAAAGGCCCCAGAGCAGAUACUGAAAAAUCUGUUAAUUUCCCGUAAUAAGGAAGUAGACCCAGAGAAAAUGCUUGCAGUGAGAAACCAGCAGGUAGAACUUGAACAAAAACAAAAAAUAUCUGAUAUGGAAGGAGAAGCUGCUGAACAAGAAUGUCUGUUUUGAACAUGAACAGCGAAUGACAUAUAUUUGAUUGCAGGAACUGAAAGCUAAGGGCUGAGGCUGGAUCACUUUAAGGGAACUGUGUUGUUUGGACUUCUGAGUAACCAGUAAGAAACUUGUGAGAGCACAAGAAGGACCUGCUGUCAGGAUGAAUCAGAGUUGUGUCCUGAAGGAGGCUGUUGCAAAAGUUGGAAGGUGCGUACUCCCUGUAGUACUGGGGCAGGCUGAUCCAGGCCUGCCCAUAACUAAUGCAUACCAUUUCAAUCAAGGGGGAAGAAACACUAAGCCCAGGCUACAAGUGAUUUCUGAGGACAACAAAUGAAAAAACAGGAGUGGGAGAGAGGUCAGAGGUAAAGAAUGAGGGAUCCAGAGGGGAAAACCAAGCAGAAACCCCCCAAGAGUGCCCACUAUUCCUGAAAGGCAUGCUGGGAGCUGCUGCCGAGAAGAACUCUGCCCCAAGGUGUGAUUGGAUAAGGCACAGGAAAUAGGUCCCAGAGUCAGAGCUUCCUCCUCCUGGAAUGAUGGAUGGUUGUCUUGGUCUCUCAACUUAGUGGGACCAUGGAUAGGGUGUGCAAAAAUCAGAAUGCCACUUGAAAAUAAUCCAUUCAGCACCUGCAGCUCCUGGGAUGAGGAGUGGCUUCUGUGUCUUGCUCAAAGAUGUUCUCUGCAUCUUUGGUCAAGCAGGAUGCUACAAGAAUUAUCUUGCUUAAGGUGGUACAAGAUUGGAAAACCAGAUGACCCCCACCUCCUGCACCAUGCGUUGCUCUUGUAUAAAAUCUGCUAGUAACUCUCCAUGGAUGAAGAGUUCUGGAGCAUGCUAACUUCUGAGAGGGGGAAGGUAAUUCCAUAUCCUAUAUAGCUCCCCGAAGGAUCUCAACAAACAUUGCAAUAUUGCAAAGCUGAAUAUGAAAUGUUACAUAUUUCAAGGGACCAAUUCUGCCUUCAUGUGCACUGUGUAACCCCCUGGGUCAAUGGGUUGCAGAAGGUGUAAGUGGGGGGAGAACUUGGCUGCUGACAACUGGAACAUCCAAAGUACCAUCUUAAUAUUAGAAACAAGCAACUGCAGAAGCACUGUCAGCAAUGAUGGCUAGAUUCAUUCAGAUCUUCACUGUAUAAAAAUAACUGCCUCAGUUGCAUCCUUUUCCUUUGCACUAGUGAGCUCAAUAUGGCAAUUUAAAAAUAAUGCCAUUAGGGAUGGCAGAGCUUGUUUCCGAAGAGCCUGCGUGUCAGAAAAGCAGCAGUCACUUAAAGCAGA